rnacentral:lncRNA from 1 species
GCCCAGGCCGUGAGGGGAGCGCUCCGGUGAGCCCGGCACCGGCUGAGCCCCGGCCGUGAGGGGAGCGCUCCGGUGAGCCCGGCACCGGCUGAGCCCCGGCCGUGAGGGGAGCGCUCCGGUGAGCCCGGCACCGGCUGAGCCCCGGCCGUGAGGGGAGCGCUCCGGUGCGUUCUGCUGCCAGCUGAACCCCGUGGCUGCGGCUGUUUGCCGUAUCCCUGUCACAGCACUCUGCCCGGCUCUUCAAACCCAACCUUAGUGGGGCAGAAGUGUCAUAUGACACAGGGAUGACUGCCAAAUGUCAUCCAGUUUUGACAUAAUGCCUUGGCAGAAGACAGAGAUGCUCAAGAGGAGACACAGUAUUAAUUCUACCAGAGAAACUGGGGCUGUGAGCUACCAUGACAGCAACACACACAACAGCCAGCCUGCUGCUCCAGAGGGAAUGACAGCUUCCGAGCCAUGCAGCAGGGACUGAGGGUUCCUCCUGCAUGCAGAGACAGUCCUGCUACUGGGAAGAUGAUGAGCUGAACCUCAAGUCAAAAUCAAAGAGCUCAGGUAUCUGCUAGUCUUCUUGAAUACUGACAGGAUUUUGAGCAGGGAUAGGGAGAAGGAAGAGAGACUAGAAUACAUUCCUGAGAACAAAUUCCAUCAUGGCACUUUCCUCAUAAUCAUUCAUUCCCUGGCAGUCUUUUAUCUGUAUUAUUCUUCCUUAGAACUUCAGGUGUUGCAAAGAAGUCAAGUAUAGACACUAAAAAUACUAUCUUGCUAAUACAGUUUAAGCAAAAGAAGAAACAGACCACUCAGAAGGCUAUGCUAAUAGCCUUAACAAAGUUAGAGUAAAGAAGUGGUUAAGGAUCUAGAUGAUUUAAUCCAGUUUUAAGAAAAGGUUUUACAGUGAGCAAUUAGAUGCUGUUUAAGGAAUUAAUCGCUAAUGGGUCAUUAACUCUGACUGGUAUUGUACAGUUAACAAGCCGAGGCAGGAUUAUUAGACUCAGCACCCAAUUAAGGAGGAGAAGAUAUUUACAACAAAAUGAACAAAUGGGCUUUUAAAAUGGAAUGGGACAAUUUGAAAGAAAGUGUAGGAACAUGGAAAACUAGACAGGCUAGAAGAAAUAUGUGUUUGCAUAUGCCUCUGUCUCUUUAUUUGCCUACUUAUAUGUAGCUGGUAAAAUAUUAAUUUUUAGUAAAAACUCAGAGCUUUCCUUGAAGGACAACAGCACACAGUUGAUCCACUUUCAGGGUUCACAUGUACAAGGUAUAAGAAAGACCUGUUUAACAUGCCAAUAAAAGAACAACCACCAUAGCUUGCCA